rnacentral:lncRNA from 1 species
AUGUCACAGCAACUGCUGCUUGUUGUCCUUGAAGGCUGGCCCCGGUUGGAAAGUCUGACUUCUGGAUUCCUCUUUAUUCAAAUACCGGGUAUUCCUGAAACAGAGCUGAAGGGGGUACCCCCACUUUUGAAUUUGAGGAAGAAGCUAGAGCAGGUGCUGCUUACAGACGGGGCAGUGGCAGGAGCUGUAAGGACAAAGUGUCCAGCUGGAAAGGCUUCAGCUAUUCAGGAGGAGGCCUUGACUGCUGCACUUGAGCUCCAGACGCGACCGAAACACGGACCUCUCUUCAGAUAAAG